AUUGGGAUAACUGGGUCAUAUAGUGGGUCAUAUAGUUUUUUGAGGAAUCUCCAUACUGCUUUCCAGAGUAGUUAUACUAAUAUGUAGUCCCACCAACAAU
rnacentral:pre_miRNA from 1 species